AGAGUUUGAUCAUGGCUCAGAUUGAACGCUGGCGGCAGGCUUAACACAUGCAAGUCGAGCGGGGAAGGUUGCUUCGGUAACUAACCUAGCGGCGGACGGGUGAGUAAUGCUUAGGAAUCUGCCUAUUAGUGGGGGACAACGUUCCGAAAGGAACGCUAAUACCGCAUACGCCCUACGGGGGAAAGCAGGGGAUCUUCGGACCUUGCGCUAAUAGAUGAGCCUAAGUCGGAUUAGCUAGUUGGUGGGGUAAAGGCCUACCAAGGCGACGAUCUGUAGCGGGUCUGAGAGGAUGAUCCGCCACACUGGGACUGAGACACGGCCCAGACUCCUACGGGAGGCAGCAGUGGGGAAUAUUGGACAAUGGGCGGAAGCCUGAUCCAGCCAUGCCGCGUGUGUGAAGAAGGCCUUUUGGUUGUAAAGCACUUUAAGCGAGGAGGAGGCUCCUUUAGUUAAUACCUAAAGAGAGUGGACGUUACUCGCAGAAUAAGCACCGGCUAACUCUGUGCCAGCAGCCGCGGUAAUACAGAGGGUGCGAGCGUUAAUCGGAUUUACUGGGCGUAAAGCGUGCGUAGGCGGCUUUUUAAGUCGGAUGUGAAAUCCCUGAGCUUAACUUAGGAAUUGCAUUCGAUACUGGAAAGCUAGAGUAUGGGAGAGGAUGGUAGAAUUCCAGGUGUAGCGGUGAAAUGCGUAGAGAUCUGGAGGAAUACCGAUGGCGAAGGCAGCCAUCUGGCCUAAUACUGACGCUGAGGUACGAAAGCAUGGGGAGCAAACAGGAUUAGAUACCCUGGUAGUCCAUGCCGUAAACGAUGUCUACUAGCCGUUGGGGCCUUUGAGGCUUUAGUGGCGCAGCUAACGCGAUAAGUAGACCGCCUGGGGAGUACGGUCGCAAGACUAAAACUCAAAUGAAUUGACGGGGGCCCGCACAAGCGGUGGAGCAUGUGGUUUAAUUCGAUGCAACGCGAAGAACCUUACCUGGCCUUGACAUACUAAGAACUUUCCAGAGAUGGAUUGGUGCCUUCGGGAACUUAGAUACAGGUGCUGCAUGGCUGUCGUCAGCUCGUGUCGUGAGAUGUUGGGUUAAGUCCCGCAACGAGCGCAACCCUUUUCCUUAUUUGCCA
rnacentral:rRNA from 1 species